rnacentral:rRNA from 1 species
UGAGGAAUAUUGGUCAAUGGGCGGGAGCCUGAACCAGCCAAGUCGCGUGAGGGACGACGGUCCUAUGGAUUGUAAACCUCUUUUGUCGGGGAACAAAGGUGCCCACGGGUGGGCGGAUGAGUGUACCCGAAGAAAAAGCAUCGGCUAACUCCGUGCCAGCAGCCGCGGUAAUACGGAGGAUGCGAGCGUUAUCCGGAUUUAUUGGGUUUAAAGGGUGCGUAGGCGGACAGUCAAGUCAGCGGUAAAAAUGCGGUGCUCAACGCCGUACAGCCGUUGAAACUGGCAGUCUUGAGUGGGCGAGAA